GGGCAGCCAUUCCCGGGACUUUGGACUUGGCUCCGUUGCACCCCUGAACGGACUGCAUUUGGAACCACCCUGGGAACAUACCUCUGGGAACCAAGGUUGCUAGGAGAACACCUGUGCCCCCAGCACUUUGGUCCAGCAAGGGCAGGAGAGGAGAGCUGGAAACUGGUAGAGCUGUGCUACCUGCUACCUCCUGAGGCUCUCAGGGAGCAGGAGAAUCUGAACAUGAGUGGCAAGAGCUGGGUACUGAUCUCUACGACUUCGCCCCAGAGCCUGGAAGAUGAGAUUCUGGGACGGCUUCUGAAAAUUC
rnacentral:lncRNA from 1 species